rnacentral:rRNA from 1 species
UACAGAGGGUGCGAGCGUUGUCCGGAAUCACUGGGCGUAAAGGGCGCGUAGGUGGUGGCUUAAGCGUGCGGUGAAAGCUCGGGGCUCAACUCCGAGUCGGCCGUGCGAACUGGGCUCACUGGAGCAUAGUAGAGGCAGGUGGAAUUCCGGGUGUAGCGGUGGAAUGCGUAGAGAUCCGGAAGAACACCGGUGGCGAAGGCGGCCUGCUGGACCAAUUCUGACGCUGAGGAGCGAAAGCCAGGGGAGCAAACGGG